CUUGAAGAGCAGUCAGUGCUCUUAACCACUGAGCCACCUCCCAAGCCCCAGGGAUUCCCAUGCUGCUAUUCAGUAUUUCUUUUCAUUGUAAAAAACUUGCAAAAAAAAAAAAAAAAGAGCUUGCAAAUAAAAAGUCUCACAGCCAGAGACUCAGACCGAAGUCUAAGCACUUUUGCAUUUUAUGCUUUAGGCUGACGAUGACAGUGUACUACUAGGCUGUGCACCGUCACUUAUAAGUAUACAUUAUACCAUUGGAAAGUGGGCUUCCAGCUUGGCCAUGGAAUCUCCUUGAAUGUUGAACAUGACAUGUCCAGUCAGGACCCUGCCCUCCUCUCACUUGCAGAGUGUCUCCUCCAGGGUCUGUUUCCUGAAUAAGGACGGUGGCAUGGAGAAAGUGGCCACCCCUCCAGCUUGAGUCUCCACAUGAGAACUGUGUGCUUCAAUCUUUACUCUGAGUUGCUUCUGGGACAACCCAAUAAAGGAGACUGGCCGCAUCUUAAAUCUCCAUACAAGUUUCUCCUCAGAGAAAUUUACUACAAUCUACUUCACACCCAAAAACCAAAACCAAAAACCAAAGCAACCAAACCAAACCAAAAACAACCAACUAGCUUUUUCUAGACUCAAUUAGAUGCCUUAGAUGCUUACACUCCCAACCCCAUACCCUAUAUUAUGUAAGCUUGAACAACAAAUCCCACAGGGCCUUUAAUGAGUCUUUACCUUUCCCCCAGUAGUAAGGAUGUGGUCAGUCAGCCUCACUACUUAAGAGUGAUUUUCAACUGCUCUAGGCCCAGAAUUCCUUUAGAUUUCAUUUAAGCUAUUUAUUUAUUUAUGACUUUUUUUCUCUCCUCAUGAGCACAUGACCAGAUUACCUUCCCAGGAUCCUUUGCAGGAGAGAAGCCGAGUCUUCCCUUGCUGUCUGAAAAUCUCCGAUGCACGAGCUUUAGCCCCAGAAAAAGUGGAAGCCAGACCUUCUUAAAGAAAGUGCAGAAAAUGCACAGGGAAAGCAAGCAGGCAGAGCAUUCCUUUCUCACCAUGGAGGGUGCCUUUGUUUUGGAGGAAAGAAGAGAUCCACUUGCCUUUGCCUGCUGGAUGCCGGGAAGAAAGGUGUGUGUCAUCAUGCCUGCUGGGUAACUGUCUUCUCCUGAGGCCGCCUGGGCACCAUGAUCUACCGGAGCGGAUCUGUCCAUUCCUGCUCAUUAACUUCAUUCCAAAAAUGUCUCCCGAAGUGGGAAUUUCUGGUUUCACCGGAGACCCAGUUGUGUUCUGCGAUAUUUUUCUGGACGCUGUCUGGUGAAAGGGCAUGCGAUGUUUGACUGGAGCAGACACUCGAGAGGGCACGUGAUGUUUGGAAAGAGUGUGAGUACAACCCAGCAGACAGUGGACAACACUCUGGCCUUGGUUUGCCUUGCUUUCUUCCCUGAUCUUUCCUGACUCUAGCCGAUUGGUGGAGUCUCGUGGUUUGUUCUGGAAGGAGCCACCACUGCUGAUUUAUGUGUGGGAUGAACUGCUGACCAUGAAGAUUGGAAUCGCCCCCAAAGAACGAUUUCUAAACAGAUCCAAAACCCUGUUUCCUAUUAACCUUUCUUUUCCCCUACCUCUGGUGGGUGGUGGCUAGAAGGGAGGUUGAAGUGUUUAAGAACCC
rnacentral:sRNA from 1 species